AGAGAUUUGAUCCUGGUCUUACUAUCGACUGUCUUUCAACUUACACAUGCAAGUAUCCGCAUAACCGUGAGAAUGCCCUCUAACCUCAACUUCAGGCCGAGGAGUUGGUAUCAGGCACAGAACCCUAGCCCAUAACACCUAGUACCGCCACGCCCCCAAGGGUAAUUCAGCAGUGAUAAACAUUGUUAAAUAAGCGUUAGCUUGAUUCAGUUACGAAAGAAGAGAGCCGGCAAAUACAGUGCCAGCCGCCGCGGUUAUACUGUGGGCUCAAGUUGAUAGCAUUCGGCGUUAAACGUGGUUAAAAGUCUUCCCUAAUGGGGUGGAACGCCCUCUUAGUAGUUUUAAGCUUGAGGUCAGGAAUAUCAAAAACGAAAGUUACCCCAAUAACCCUUUGAACCCACGACAACUAGAAAACAAACUGGGAUUAGAUACCCCACUAUGUCUAGUCGUAAAUUAACUCACAUCAAAAAUGCCUGGGGACUACGAGCUAAGCUUAAAACCCAAAGGAUUUGACGGUGUCCCACCCACCUAGAGGAGCCUGUCCCAUAAUCGAUAACCCCCGUUUUACCUUACCACUUCUUGCUUAGUCCGUAUACCGCCGUCGUAAGCUCACCACGUGAGUGUUAGUGAGCAAAAAGGUUCUACCAAAACGUCAGGUCUAGGUGCAACUUAUGGAGUGGUGCGAGAUGGGCUACAAUUUCUUAUAUAGAACAAACGAAAAGCUAACUGAAACUCAGCUAUGAAGGUGGAUUUAGGAGUAAAAGAAAACUAGAGCGUUUUUUUUAAUUAGGCCCUGGGAUACGUACACACCGCCCGUCGCUCUCUUCGACAUUACUUGCUCAUGUAUAUAACACCUUUCCCCCUCCCCCCUAGAAGAGAUAAGUCGUAACAUGGUAAGUGUACUGGAAAGUGCACUUAGAAUAA
rnacentral:ncRNA from 1 species